rnacentral:rRNA from 1 species
CCUACGGGAGGCAGCAGUGGGGGAUAUUGGACAAUGGGGGGAACCCUGAUCCAGCGACGCCGCGUGAGUGAAGAAGUAUUUCGGUAUGUAAAGCUCUGUCAGCAGGGAAGAAAGAAAUGACGGUACCUGACCAAGAAGCCACGGCUAACUACGUGCCAGCAGCCGCGGUAAUACGUAGGGGGUAAGCGUUAUCCGGAUUUACUGGGUGUAAAGGGAGCGUAGACGGCAGCACAAGUCUGGAGUGAAAUGCCGGGGCUUAACCCCGGAACUGCUUUGGAAACUGUGCAGCUAGAGUGCAGGAGAGGUAAGUGGAAUUCCUAGUGGAGCGGUGAAAGGCGUAGAUAUUAGGAGGAACACCAGUGGCGAAGGCGGCUUACUGGACUGUAACUGACGUUGAGGCUCGAAAGCGUGGGGAGCAAACAGGAUUAGAUACCCGUGUAGUC